rnacentral:sRNA from 1 species
CACCGAGUCCGCGGCUCCGGUUGUCACCGGGGCCUGGUGCAAAAGGGA